rnacentral:rRNA from 1 species
UAGGGAAUCUUCCGCAAUGGGCGAAAGCCUGACGGAGCAACGCCGCGUGAGUGAUGAAGGUCUUCGGAUCGUAAAACUCUGUUAUUAGGGAAGAACAAAUGUGUAAGUAACUAUGCACAUCUUGACGGUACCUAAUCAGAAAGCCACGGCUAACUACGUGCCAGCAGCCGCGGUAAUACGUAGGUGGCAAGCGUUAUCCGGAAUUAUUGGGCGUAAAGCGCGCGUAGGCGGUCAAUUAAGUCUGAUGUGAAAGCCCCCGGCUCAACCGGGGAGGGUCAUUGGAAACUGGUUGACUUGAGUGCAGAAGGGGAGAGUGGAAUUCCAUGUGUAGCGGUGAAAUGCGUAGAUAUAUGGAGGAACACCGGUGGCGAAAGCGGCUCUCUGGUCUGUAACUGACGCGGAGGCUCGAAAGCGUGGGGAGCGAACAGG